rnacentral:rRNA from 1 species
GGGGAAUCUUGCGCAAUGGGCGAAAGCCUGACGCAGCAACGCCGCGUGCGGGAUGAAGGCCUUCGGGUUGUAAACCGCUUUCAGUAGGGACGAAAUCGACGGUACCUACAGAAGAAGCCCCGGCCAACUACGUGCCAGCAGCCGCGGUAACACGUAGGGGGCGAGCGUUGUCCGGAUUUAUUGGGCGUAAAGAGCUCGUAGGCGGCUCGGUAAGUCGGGUGUGAAAACUCUGGGCUCAACCCAGAGACGCCACCCGAUACUGCUGUGGCUUGAGUCCGGUAGGGGAGCGUGGAAUUCCUGGUGUAGCGGUGAAAUGCGCAGAUAUCAGGAGGAACACCAGCGGCGAAGGCGGCGCUCUGGGCCGGAACUGACGCUGAGGAGCGAAAGCGUGGGUAGCAAAC